UGGUGGUGUGGAUUGUCUGGUUGAUUCCGUUAACGAACGAGACCUUUUCCUAUUAAAUAGACACUGGAAGAUAUUGCAUCAAGGCUAGAGGGGCCAACAUGGGGAAGGGUCCGUCCCCCUCGUGUUGCCGUUCCUUCUAGUUGCACUUUUUCCAGGAUGAUCUUCUUAGAGGGACUAUUGGUGACAAGCCAAUGGAAGUUAAAGGCAAAAACA
rnacentral:rRNA from 1 species